rnacentral:rRNA from 1 species
UACGUAGGGUGCAAGCGUUAAUCGGAAUUACUGGGCGUAAAGCGUGCGCAGGCGGUUCUAUAAGACAGAUGUGAAAUCCCCGGGCUCAACCUGGGAACUGCAUUUGUGACUGUAGAGCUGGAGUACGGUAGAGGGGGAUGGAAUUCCGCGUGUAGCAGUGAAAUGCGUAGAUAUGCGGAGGAACACCGAUGGCGAAGGCAGGUCUCUGGGCUGACACUGACGCUCAUGCACGAAAGCGUGGGGAGCAAACAGG